GACGAACGCUGGCGGCGUGCUUAACACAUGCAAGUCGAACGAAAAGAGGGAAAGAGCCUGCUCUUUCCGGAAUUGAGUGGCAAACGGGUGAGUAACACGUAAACAACCUGCCUUCAGGAUGGGGACAACAGACGGAAACGACUGCUAAUACCGAAUAAGUUCCAAGAGCCGCAUGGCCCAUGGAAGAAAAGGUGGCCUCUACCUGUAAGCUAUCGCCUGAAGAGGGGUUUGCGUCUGAUUAGCUGGUUGGGGGGGUAACGGCCCACCAAGGCGACGAUCAGUAGCCGGUCUGAGAGGAUGAACGGCCACACUGGAACUGAGACACGGUCCAGACUCCUACGGGAGGCAGCAGUGGGGAAUCUUCCGCAAUGGGCGAAAGCCUGACGGAGCAACGCCGCGUGAGUGAUGACGGCCUUCGGGUUGUAAAACUCUGUGAUCCGGGACGAAAAGGCAGAGUGCGAAGAACAAACUGCAUUGACGGUACCGGAAAAGCAAGCCACGGCUAACUACGUG
rnacentral:rRNA from 1 species